rnacentral:rRNA from 1 species
UACGAAGGGGGCUAGCGUUGCUCGGAAUCACUGGGCGUAAAGCGCACGUAGGCGGAUUGCUAAGUCAGGGGUGAAAUCCUGGAGCUCAACUCCAGAACUGCCUUUGAUACUGGCGACCUUGAGUCCGGGAGAGGUGAGUGGAACUGCGAGUGUAGAGGUGAAAUUCGUAGAUAUUCGCAAGAACACCAGUGGCGAAGGCGGCUCACUGGCCCGAUACUGACGCUGAGGCGCGAAAGCGUGGGGAGCGAACCGG